UAUAUUCAAGUGUUUUAAGCAUAUAAAAUUUUGAAUUUUGUGGAAUUAAUUAAUUUAAUGAAUAUAA
rnacentral:tRNA from 1 species